GCUAGUCGCGGACCUGAUCACUUCGGUGAGACGUAAAGCAUAUGGCUAGAGUGGCGAACGGGUGAGUAACACGUGGACAACCUGCCUCUAAGCAGGGGAUAACAUUUGGAAACAGAUGCUAAUACCGUAUAACAACACAUUUCGCAUGAAGUGUGUUUAAAAGGGGCUUCGGCCUCACUUAGAGAUGGAUCCGCGGUGCAUUAGUUAGUUGGUGAGGUAAAGGCUUACCAAGACGAUGAUGCAUAGCCGAGUUGAGAGACUGAUCGGCCACAUUGGGACUGAGACACGGCCCAAACUCCUACGGGAGGCUGCAGUAGGGAAUCUUCCACAAUGGGCGCAAGCCUGAUGGAGCAACGCCGCGUGUGUGAUGAAGGCUUUCGGGUCGUAAAGCACUGUUGUAUGGGAAGAAUAGUUAAUGUAGGAAAUGAUGUUAAUGUGACGGUACCAUACCAGAAAGGGACGGCUAAAUACGUGCCAGCAGCCGCGGUAAUACGUAUGUCCCGAGCGUUAUCCGGAUUUAUUGGGCGUAAAGCGAGCGCAGACGGUUCGUUAAGUCUGAAGUGAAAGCCCACAGCUCAACUGUGGAAUGGCUUUGGAAACUGGCGAACUUGAGUGCAGUAGAGGCAAGUGGAACUCCAUGUGUAGCGGUGGAAUGCGUAGAUAUAUGGAAGAACACCAGUGGCGAACGCGGCUUGCUGGACUGUAACUGACGUUGAGG
rnacentral:rRNA from 1 species